UACGUAGGGUGCGAGCGUUAAUCGGAAUUACUGGGCGUAAAGCGUGCGCAGGCGGCUUGCCAAGUCAGAUGUGAAAGCCCCGGGCUCAACCCGGGAACUGCGUUUGAAACUGGCAGGCUAGAGUUUGGCAGAGGGGGGUGGAAUUCCACGUGUAGCAGUGAAAUGCGUAGAUAUGUGGAAGAACACCAGUGGCGAAAGCGGUUUUCUAGCUAUUACCUGACGCUGAGGCGCGAGAGCGUGGGGAGCGAACCGG
rnacentral:rRNA from 1 species